UCGGGAAUUUUGGGCAAUGGGCGAAAGCCUGACCCAGCAACGCCGCGUGAAGGAUGAAAUCCCUCGGGAUGUAAACUUCGCAAGAACGGGAAGAAUAAGUGAGGGUUAAUAUCCCUUACGAUGACGGUACUGUUUGUAAGCUCCGGCUAACUCCGUGCCAGCAGCCGCGGUAAUACGGGGGGAGCAAGCGUUGUUCGGAUUUACUGGGCGUAAAGGGCGCGUAGGCGGCCACCGCAAGUCGACUGUGAAAUCUCCGGGCUUAACCCGGAAAGGUCAGCCGAUACUGCGGGGCUAGAGUGCAGAAGGGGCAACUGGAAUUCUCGGUGUAGCGGUGAAAUGCGUAGAUAUCGAGAGGAACACCUGCGGCGAAGGCGGGUUGCUGGGCUGACACUGACGCUGAUGCGCGAAAGCUAGGGGAGCGAACGG
rnacentral:rRNA from 1 species